rnacentral:rRNA from 1 species
GAUGAACGCUGGCGGCGUGCCUAACACAUGCAAGUCGAACGAAGCACCUUUUAAGAUUCUUCGGAUGAUUGAUCGGUGACUGAGUGGCGGACAGGUGAGUAACGCGUGGGUAACCUGCCCUGUACAGGGGGAUAACAGUUGGAAACGGCUGCUAAUACCGCAUAAGCGCACGAGAGGACAUCCUCUUGUGUGAAAAACUCCGGUGGCACAGGAUGGGCCCGCGUCUGAUUAGCUGGUUGGCAGGGGAACGGCCUACCAAGGCGACGAUCAGUAGACGGUCAGACAGGAUGAACGGCCACAUUGGAACUGGGAAACGGUCCAAACUCCUACGGGAGGCAGCAGAGGAGAAAAUUGCACAAUGGGGGAAACCCUGAUGCAGCCACGCCGCGUGAGUGAAGAAGUAUUUCGGUAUGUAAAGCUCUAUCAGCAGGGAAGAUAAUGACGGUACCUGACUAAGAAGCUCCGGCUAAAUACGUGCCAGCAGCCGCCGUAA